AGACUGGGAUAACCAUUGGAAACAAUAGCUAAUACCGGAUAUAGUUAUUUAUCGCAUGAUAAAUAAUAGAAAGGAGCUUCACGGCUUCACUUAGAAAUGGGGGUGCGCAACAUUAGUUAGUUGGUAGGGUAAUGGCCUACCAAGACGAUGAUGUUUAGCCGGGCCGAGAGGCUGUACGGCCACACUGGGACUGAGAUACGGCCCAGACUCCUACGGGAGGCAGCAGUAAGGAAUUUUCCACAAUGAGCGAAAGCUUGAUGGAGCGACACAGCGUGCAGGAUGAAGUUCUUCGGAAUGUAAACUGCUGUUAUAAGGGAAGAAAAAAUAGAAUAGGAAAUGAUUUUAUCUUGACGGUACCUUAUUAGAAAGCGACGGCAAACUAUG
rnacentral:rRNA from 1 species